UGGGGAAUCUUGCGCAAUGGGCGAAAGCCUGACGCAGCCAUGCCGCGUGUAUGAUGAAGGUCUUAGGAUUGUAAAAUACUUUCACCGGUGAAGAUAAUGACUGUAGCCGGAGAAGAAGCCCCGGCUAACUUCGUG
rnacentral:rRNA from 1 species